AGCAGCCGCGGUAAUUCCAGCUCCAAUAGCGUAUAUUAAAGUUGUUGCAGUUAAAAAGCUCGUAGUUGAAUUUCGGGAUUCUACCGUUGGUCGGGCUAACAAGUCUGUACUGGUGUGUAGAAUUUCUACCUUCUGGGGAACUAUCAUGUUAUUAAUUUAGCGUGGUGGGAAACCAGGACCUUUACCUUGAAAAAAUUAGAGUGUUCAAAGCAGGCUUACGUCUGAAUACAUUAGCAUGGAAUAAUAGAAUAGGACGGUGGUCCUGUUUUGUUGGUUUCUGAAUCACCGUAAUGAUUAAUAGGGAUAGUUGGGGGCAUUAGUAUUCAAUUGUCAGAGGUGAAAUUCUUGGAUUUAUUGAAGACUAACUUCUGCGAAAGCAUUUGCCAAGGAUGUUUCAUUAAUCAAGAACGAAAGUUAGGGAUACGAAGACGAUCAGAUACCGUCGUAGUCUUAACCAUAAACUAU
rnacentral:rRNA from 1 species